UCCUCCUCAUCUAAAAAUCUCCCAAAAUAAAACAUAUGGAGCCCUUUAUAGUUCCCAAAAGCAAAAACAGAAGUACUGCCCUUUUAGUCUUUUUGCCUUAAUAUCACUAACAAUCCUUUUUCAUUAAAGUAUGGACUACACAUUUCCCACUGCCACUUAAAUGACCCCAUCAUUAAUGAAAAUUCUUACCCCCUAGAAUAGUCACCCUACAUAAAUUUUUUAAAAAUAUACAUAAUAUGGCCAGGCACAGUGGCCCAAGCCUGUCAUCCCAGCACUUUGGGAGGCCGAGGCAGGUGGAACACCUGAGGUCAGGAGUUCGAGACCAGCCUGUCCAACACGGCGAAACCCAGUCUACUAAAAACACAAAAAUUGGCCAGGUACAGUGGCUCACACCUGUAAUCCCAGCACUUUGGGAGGCCAAGAGGGUGGAUCAUUCAAGGUCAGGAGUUCGAGACAGCCUGGCCAACAUGGUGAAACCCCGUCUCUACUAAAAAUAGGAAAAUUAGCUGGCCAUGGUGGCGGGUGCCUGUAAUCCCAGCUCCUAGGGAGGCUGAGGCCGGAGAAUCACUUGAACCCAGGAGAUGGAGGCUACAGUGAGCCAAGAUUGCACCACUGCAUUCCAGCCUGGGCAACAGAGUGAGACUCUGUCUCAAAAAAAAUAAAAAUAAAAAUACAAAAAGUAGCCAGGCAUGGUGGUGCUUGCCUGUAAUCCCAGCUACUGGGGAGGCUGAGGCAGGAGAAUUGCUUGAACCCAGGAGAUGGAGGCUACAGUGAGCCGAGAUUGCACCACUGCAUUCCAGCCUGGGCAACAGAGUGAGAUUCUGUCUCAAAAAAAAAAAUAAAAAUACAAAAAUUAGCCAGGCAUGGUGGUGCUUGCCUGUAAUCCCAGCUACUGGGGAGGCUGAGGCAGAAUUGCUUGAACCCGGGAGGUGGAGGUUGCAGCGAGCUGAGAUCGCGCCACUGCACUCCAGCCCCCGUGUCAGAGGGAGACUCCAUUUCAAAAAAUUAAAAUUAAAAAUUAAAAAAUAAAAUAAAUAUACAUAAUACUGGCUGGGCACAGUGGCUCAUGCCUAUAAUCCCAGCACUUUGCGGGGCUGAGGAAGGUGGAUCAUCUGAGGUCAGGAGUUCAAGACCAGCCUGACCAACAUGGUGAAAUCCCAUCUCCACUAAAAAUAGGAAAGUUAGCCAGGCAUUGUGGCUCAUGCCUGUAAUCCAGCUACUCAGGAGGCUGAGGCACGAGAACUGCUUGAACCCAGGAGGCGGAGGUUGCAGUGAGCCCAGAUCAUGCCACUGCACUCCAGCUUGGGCAACAAGAGCAAGACUCCGUUUAAAAAAAAAAAAGAAAACAAAUAAUUAAAAAAUGGGCAAAAGAUCUGAAUACACACUUCUCAAAAGACGAUAUACAAAUGGCCAAUUAUAUGAAAAUACGUUCAGUAUCACUAAUCAGUGAAAUGCAAGGUAAAACCACAAUGAGAUAUCACCUUACAUCUAGUAGAAUGGCCAUUAUGAAAACAGCAAAAGAUAGCAAGUAUUGGUAAAGAUAUGGAGAAGAAGGACCCCUUGUACAUUGUUGGUGGAAAUGUAAAUUGGUGCAGCCAUAAUGGAAAACAGUAUGAGGUUCCUCAAAAAAGUAACAAUGGCACUACCAUAUGAUCCAGCAAUCCCACUACUGAGAAUAUAUCCAAAGGAAAUGAACUAUCUAUGAGAUACCUGUACUCCCACAUUCACUGUCACAUCUAAGAUAUGGAAUCAACAAAUCAAUGGAUAAAUGAAUAAAGAAAACGUAGUAUAUACACAUAACGGAAUACUAUUUCACUUAAAACAAGAAAAUCCUGUCGUGGAUGAACCUGGAGACAUUAUGUUAAGUAAAACAAGCCAGGUACAGAAAGACAUAUACCACAUGACCUCACUCAUAUGGGGAAUAUUAAAAAGCUGAGGCUGGUUCAAAGGUAGUAACUUAUCUUAAUUGAUUGUUCACAGUCAGUUACAGAUAAAACUCUUUGUUCUACUCUUUCCCACCUUCUCACUACUACACUUGACUAGUCUAAAAAAUAAUAAUAAAUAAAAAAUAACAAAGUUGUAAGGCCGGGCAUGAUGGCUCAUGCCUGUAAUGCCAACACUUCGGGAGGCCCACGUGGGAGGAUCGGCUGAGGCCAGGACUUCCAGACCAGCCUGGGCAACAGCAAGUCCUCAUCUCUACAAAUAAUUUUUUUAACUAGCAGGGCAUGGUUCUGUGUGUCUGAAGUCCCAUCUACUUGGGAGGCUGAGGCAAGAGGACUGCUCAAGUCCAGGAGAUUGAGGCUGAAGUGAGCCAUGAUCAUGCCACCACACUCCAUACUGGGCAAGGGAGCGAGACCCUGUUUCUUUUUUUUUUUUUUUUUUAAAAAAGAGAGUAGUUAACAAACUGCUGGGCAGAGAGGGAAAGGUUUGGGGAGAUGUUGGUCAAAAACUAUUAAAUUUCAGUUAAUAGGAGAAAUACAUUCAAGAGGUCUAUUGUACAUCAGGAUGACUAUAGUCAAUAACAAUAUAUUAUAUUCUUGAAGAUUGCUGACAGAUUUUAAGUGUUCUCAUCACAAAAAAAUGGUAAGUACGUGAGGUAAUACAUAUGUUAAUUAGCUUGAUUUAGCCAUUCCACAAUGUAUAUAUUUCAAAACAUGUUGUACAUGAUAAAUACACACAAUUUUAUUAGUCAAUUAAAAAAUAAGACUGGAUGCAGUGGCUCAUGUCUGUAAUCUCAGCACUUUAGGAGGCCAAGGCAAGCGGAUCACUUGAGGCCAGAAGUUCAAAACCAGCCUGGCCAACAUGGGAAACCCUGUCUCUACUAAAAAAAAUACAAAAAUUAGUGGGGCAUAGUGGUGCAUGCCUGUAGUCCCAGCUACUCAAGAGGUUGAGGCAGGAGAAUCGCCUGAACCCAGGAGGCGGAGGCUGCAGUGAGCCGAGAUCGUGCCAGUGCACUCCAGCCUGGACAACAGAGCGAGACUCUGUCUCUAAAUAAAAUAGGCUGGGCACAGUGGCUCACACUUGUAAUCCCAGCACUUUGGGAGGCCAAGGUGGGUGGCCGCUUGAGGUCAAAAGUUAGAGACCAGCCUAACCAAUGUGGAGAAACCUCAUCUCUACUAAAAAUACAGAAAUUAGGCUGGGUGUGGUGGCUCACGCCUGUAAUCCCAGCACUUUGGGAGGCCGAGGCAGGUGGGUCACGAGGUCAGGAGAUGGAGACCAUCCUGGCUAACACAGUGAAACCCCAUCUCUACUAAAAAUACAAAAAAUUCGCCGGGCAUGGUGGCAGGCGCCUGUAGUCCCAGCUACUCAGGAGGCUGAGGCAGGAGAAUGGCAUGAACCAGGGAGGUGGAGCUUGUAGUGAGCCGAGAUCGCGAGCCUGCACUCCAGCCUGGACAACAGAGUGAGACUCUGUCUCAAAAAAAAACAAAAAAACAAAAAACAAAAAAAAAAACAGAAAUUAGCCAGGCAGGGUGGCGUGCACCUGUAAUCCCAGCUUCUUGGGAGGCUGAGGCAGGAGAAUUGCUUGCACCCAGGAGGCGGAGGCUGCAGUGAGCCAAGAUCAUGCCACUGCACUCCAGCCUGGGCUACAAAGUGAGACUCUAUCUUUAAAAAAAAAUUAAAAAAAAAAAAAAAUUGUGGACCUGAAAAAAAAAAAAAAAAAAAAAGAAACUGAUAAAAUGGAACAAAAUGUAUGAAGCAACAAUCAAUGUAUAUCACACACUAUUCGCAACUUCAUAAAUAGUGACAAAGAGGAAUAUCAAGGAGAAGGCAUUGAGUAAAGUUUGAUGUAAAAUACACACAUACAAGGCCAGGCGCCGUGGCUUACGCCUGUAAUCCCAGCACUUUGGGAGGCCGAGGCGGGUGGAUCACAAGAUCAGGAGUUCGAGACCAGCCUGACCAACAUGAUGAAACCCCGUCGCUACUAAAGAUACAAAAAAUUAGCUGGGCAUAGUGGUGCAUGCCUGUAAUCCCAGCUACUCAGGAGGCUGAGGCAGGAGAAUAGCUUGAACCUAAGAGGUGAAGAUUGCAGUGAGCAGAGAUCACGCCACUGCACUCCAGCCUAGGCAACAGAGUGACACUCCAUCUCAAAAAAAAAAAAAAAAAAAAAAUACACAAAUACAUUCAAAGUAGUUGAUGCAAGAGUAUAAUCAAAGAAAUGAAGUGGGAAGAUGGGGAAGCCCUCAAGGCCCAGAAUAAACAGACACAAAUAAACAGACCUUCAGACAGCCUCAUCAGCAAGUGAGUAGUUACAGUCUUCUUUAAUAAGAUAACAUGAGUAAUUCAGUUCAGAAUAAAGUCAUUAACCUUAACCAAAAAUAACCUCCCACCUGCAGAGAACAGCUACUGACUACAAGAGACUGAACCUCUACAGACACAGGGAACCUGGAAGCAAGAACCCUUCUGGAUAGGAACUAGCAAACUGGGACACUUAUAAUUUUUGUAUUCAAAAAUCAGGACUAUUACAUCUCUUUGACAAUCAGAUGUCUAAUGUAUGCACUGCAACAAAUAGUUCAUAGUAAUCCACAUCUACAUUAUUUGGCAUAUAGAAGCCUACCUGAUGGUGGUGAGGAGCGGAAUCUUAGAAGAUAUACAGCUGCUGUCAAAAAUUCUGCAAAAUAAAGAGAGUAAGACAUUCUUUUGUUACUUAAAAACUUUCUGAAAUAAAUAUCAGUGUAUUUAACAAGCUUCUCAUUAAUUCAUGGUAUGAAAUAUAUAACUGUCACUUAAAAAUAUGUAGGAUCAGGCCGGGUUUAGAGGCCCAUGCCUGUAAUCCACAGGAGGAUCACCUGAGGCCAAGAGUUUGAGACCAACCUGGGCAAUACAGUGAGACCCAUCUGUACAAAAAAUUUAAAAAUUAGCUGGGCAUGGGGCACAUGCCUGUAGUCCGAGCUACUCAGGAGGCUGAGGUGAGAAGAUCACUUGAGCCCAGGAGUUUGAGAUUACACUAAGCUAUGAUCACUCUACUGCACUCCAGCCUGAGCAACAGAGCGAGAACCUUGUCUACAAAAAAAAAAAAAAAAAAAAAAAAAAGAGUAAGAUCAGGCGCUAACAAAUCUUGGUCAAGAUACUAAACAAAAGUUACAAGACGUUUUAUAAAAUAAGUCAGUGCUUAUAGUUUAGCGUAGAAAUCAUUUGGCUGAGUGUUGUGGCUCAUGCCUGUAAUCUCAGCACUUUGAGGCCAAGGUGGGAGGAUCACUUGAAGCCAGGAGUUUGAGACCAGCCUGGGCAAUAUAGUGAGACCCUAUCACUACAAAAAAAAAUUUAAAAAAAAAUAGCUAGGUAUGGUGGCACAUGCCUCUAGACCCAGCUACUUGGGAAGCUGAGGCCGUAAGAUUGCUAGAGCCCGUAAGUUGGCUGGAGCCCAGCACGUCAGGGUUGUAGUGAGCCAUGAUCAUGCCACUGCACUCCAGCCUGGGCAACAAAGAGAUACUGUCUCUAAAAAAACAUCAAUAAUGAUAAAUGAAUAGAAAUAAAAUGCCCAUUCUAAAGCGAUCAUCUGAACUGUAAAACUAUAUACAAAAUUCACAAAAAUAUGGGACAUAAAGGAUGUGGCCUGAAAAUGUACAAAUCACCUAAAAGUACAUCUGUGUAUCAAGAGCAGUUUCCCUGAGACUCAUCAGCUGAAGGCCUGAUAGUGUCAUUUCCAGACUAAGACCAACCAGCAACAAAGGAGAGGAGUUGUGUUUUGGUUUUCAAGAGACAACGUCUCAUUCUGAUGCCCAGGCUGAAGUGCAAUGGCACCGUCACAGCUCACUAAAGCCUCAACCUCCUAGGCUCAAGUGAUCCUCCCGCCUCAGCCUCCCAAGUAGCUGGGACUACAAGUACACACUACCAUAUCUGGCUAAUUUUUUCUGUAGAGACAGGGUCUCUCCUUGGUGCCCAGGCUGGUCUCGAACUCCUGGGCUCAAGUGAUCCUCCCACCUCAGCCUCCCGAAAUGCUGGGAUUAUAGGCCUAAGCCACUGCACCUGGCCAAAGAGAGGAAUUUUUAUACAGCAGUUGGAGAGGAGUCUAGAAGCCUCCACUGAGCACUACAGCAGAAGGAAACUAACAGCAUCACCACCUCCUUCUCUUCUCCUUGUGCCUAGCUUUUCUAGUGUGGUUUGCUGGCACUAGAGUUUAUUGCCUAAAUAGAUUAGUAGAAAGCCAAACCACUAAUAGUUAAUGUAACAAGAGUAAACUGCAGUGUAAACGAACAGGAACAGAAUAAGCAGCUUUUGAGACAAAGGAAACUACAUGAGUGGAAACGGGAUCCUGGCCUACCAUUCCCGGGUGACUCUCUUCCUACAACACCUGGUUAAUACUCACAGACUUUGCUAGAAACUAACUAGACACCUGUCACACACUGCAGACCACGCUCUUCCCAUCAGGUGGGUUUAAACAGAAACUGGGUGCCAUUCUGGAGCCUGGUGAACAGUAUACAUUCAACUGAAUAAUAUAUGAAUUCCAAAAUCACUUAAGGUAAAACUCUCAUAAACUGAAAAUGCUUGAAAUUUUAAGCAAAAUCAGGGAUUCUAAAAGAGAACAAAAUAAUUUUCCUUUGUGAUUACACUAAUGUUCCCGACAUCUUUAUUGACACUGUUUUCUGUUUUUUGUUCGAUUGGUUUAUAUUACACUUUAAAUCCAUUUUUAGGAAGUAGCUAUAGGAAGGUACUAAAGCUAAAACCCUAGAACUAUAAAACCAUAUCCAAUAGUUUGUAUAGAAUCCCAGUUUUUGCUCUUUUCUGUCUGCCCAUGGUCUGGGGCUCUGCAAUUUCCAUUCAGCACUUCACUUGCAGAAUAGAUCCCACUGACCCCAAAGUAUGCUAAAAUUAUCUCCUUUUCAGGAUACUACACAGCCUGGUUUCUGGGAUUCUUCAGUGCUUAAAGGGAAGCCAGACCAUAAACCCCCCAGGGUACCUACGGACCUUUGCCAGUCUCAAGGAAAUUUCCAGGACCCAAAAACCGCUGAAAAGCCAUUAAAUACAGGUCACCAGUCUUUAGGAACCUACAUAUGACUACUAAACAAUAACACUAGCAAUUUAAUAGGGAACAGCAGUAAACAAAGCUUUUGGUUUACUGACACAGUAGCUAUAGACUCUUUAGAUUCCCUAAAAACAUUUCUGCCUUCCC
rnacentral:lncRNA from 10 species